rnacentral:rRNA from 1 species
UACGGAAGGCAGCGGUGGGGAAUAUUGCACAAUGGGCGCAAGCCUGAUGCAGCCAUGCCGCGUGUAUGAAGAAGGCCUUCGGGUUGUAAAGUACUUUCAGUCGUGAGGAAGGUGUUAAGGUUAAUAACCUUAGCAAUUGACGUUAGCGACAGAAGAAGCACCGGCUAACUCCGUGCCAGCAGCCGCGGUAAUACGGAGGGUGCGAGCGUUAAUCGGAAUUACUGGGCGUAAAGGGCACGCAGGCGGUUAAUUAAGUUGGAUGUGAAAUCCCCGGGCUUAACCUGGGAAUGGCAUUCAAGACUGGUUAGCUAGAGUCUUGUAGAGGGGGUAGAAUUCCAUGUGUAGCGGUGAAAUGCGUAGAGAUGUGGAGGAAUACCGGUGGCGAAGGCGGCCCCUGGACAAAGACUGACGCUCAUGUGCGAAAGCGUGGGGAGCAAACAGGGAUUAGAUACC